ensembl:lncRNA
ACACCUGGGGGAAGGAUAAAGGCGGAACCACCCUGCCGCCAACACAGAGCAUGCUGGGAGCCAGACCCGCCAAGCUCCUCCCACCCCAGGCGUUACUGUGAGAUGCUGGGCUUCACACAGACCCUCUGAGUGUCUGUCCAGAGGAUGAAACGAGGGGCAGCCACACGCUUCGGGCAGACACACAAAACCUGGUGCACACAUCUGCACUGUGCACACCAGUGACUUGAGUUUUCUCUACGGCUGAACUUAAGGCUCCCCCUCAGGCACUUUGGAGUGAAUUCCACCCAGUUCCUGCUGAGACAUGCAGCAGCCACCCAGCCAUUGCUACUUACUGACCUGGACAGGGAAGCCCCUCUUCUACCCAUCGCCCAGAAGCUGCCCCACCCACCUCCUGGCCUGAUAACUAAGAAGGAGCCCUCUCUACUCUGAGAGCUCAGAGCUGCUGGGGUGGGGAAGUGCCUGCAGACCCUGGAGAUCUCCCUCCACUGCUAUGUGACCCUGGGCUCCUGACCUAAUCUCUCUGUGCCUCUGCUUGUUCACUUGUAAAAACGGAGAUAACGAUUGUACUUCACAGGCUGCUGUAGGGGCUGAAUGAAGUAAAGUGUGUGAAGCCCCACAGCGCUGCAGCUGUGUGCACUAAAGGAGGCUGAGCCGCCUUUUCAAUGUUUAUUUUCAGGGAGACGGGGCACUAGAUGCUUUCAUGAGACCCCCACCUCCUCGGCUCCCCCACCCCGUGGGACUAGAGGACAUCUCAGGAAGCGGGAAAUGGAGCACCACGGCCAGGGUUAAACUUAACCGCAAGGAAAAGGAGAAUGAGAAAAAAAUUCCAAGUUUCCUGAGAAGAUGAAGUUUUUGCUUAAUUGGUGGAAACUGGGGGUCAGCUCUGCUCAAGAUCCCAUGCUGUCUGGAGGCGACGUGGUCAGGUGACCAGGCCUGUUAGUAAAUCCCAUUUAGAAAGUGAGUGACUUGGAGACAGGCUGAAGCUAGGAUUGCAGGAAGCUGCAGGCACUCAGGUCAGCCAGCAGAGGGGGCCAUUGGUCACUGUGGUUUGGACCAGGUUGGAAGGAUGGGGAACUGGGCUUCCCUGUGUCCUGCUCCAUUGCGGUCAGAGCGGUCUGGCCUGAUGUCAGUGGUCUUUGAACACACUUAUGAGACUACACAGCCACAGCCCCCGCCCUGUGUGGCUAGGGUGAGGCAUGGGAUUGAAGUGUGUGCCCUAACUCAGUAAUGAUAUGAAAUUAUUUAAGAAGUGGCCUGUCCAGGUCCCCACAAGUCUGCGGUUAUCUUGGCUUGGAGGACAAGUGAGCCACUGGCUCUGCUUGUGUAUUUCAUUUUGACUGGAGAGUUUCGGUUUUAAAGACGAUCCGAGUCUGCCUGGUCAGGCCCCUCUCUGUGGGUCUUGUCCUUCCUGGUGUCACAGACCCUCACAACACACUUGGCUUCCAUUAUCAGAUGUUGACCCUGCACAGAAGGACAUGCCCAGCUUCUCUCUGCCUGACUGGGUAUCACUGAGGUUGUGAGCUGCCCUGGAGACCCCAAUUUCAUCACCAGACUCUGAGACUCUUGGAAACUCCUUGGGUGAUUCUGAUCCACACCUGUUGUUUGAGCCACUUGAGAAGUGUUGGCUUUGGGGAGGGGCUAGUGUUUACGCCAACUGGGACCCCAGAUGCCCAACUUGUGUGAUGACCCCUCUGACCUUUGCAGGAACAACAGAGAUGUGUUAAGGCUCCAUCUCCCCAUCCUCCCACCUGUGGCCAGGUCUUCUGGUAGGGACGAAGGUUGCUCCAGCAUCUAACUCUGGCCUGGAGUCUCCUCCAAGUUUCCCAGGAAACACAUUCUCCAGACAGGACCUGCUGGAAGCGAGCUCCACCCGUGGCAAAGGUCAUGAGGAAGGAGGCUUGGCAUACGCAAAGGCGGGAUUGAGCCUCAGGAGUCCCCCUGGAAAUUCUCGAGCAUCUACCCCCCAAAACCAGAGUCUGCCUACUUUCUGCUUUGUGCUUUCACCUACACCUCUGACUUUACGGGGGGCUGUCCCCCACUACCUCUCUCUGAAAAAAGAGUUAGCUUACAGCUCCAGUUAAUAAUUCCUGGGUGUGACAGUGUUUCAACCUACAAACUCCUUUGGAAGUCCUCUAGCCUGCCUGAAUAGGUUUUUCCGGCCACAUGUGAUUGUUCAGAGCCUCCCAACUGUGAGAGGCAGGAGAUGUUCUAAACUGUCUAAACACAGAUUCCUUUGAGUAGUUAAAAGAUUGAUUAGAAAUUGUUUUGGUGAAGGGUUUUUCACUUAUUGGGCCAAUGUUUGCUGCUAAGUCUCCAUAUCCCUUACCUACUGUGUCCUUGGCAGUGUACUGAUUGAUAUAAUGGGUGUAUAGAAAUGUAAGUAGUAGCUUUAAUGUUUGUAAUCUUGGACCCUUGAGUUAAUUCUUUUCUUGAUUGAGCCCACCUCACCUUUGCCCUAUAGGAAUGCAACUUUAUCCAAUGCUUUUUGGAGGCUGGCGCCUGACUUUGGAAUAAUCACCUUUAGAGAAAAAUAAGUUUCUUAAAAUGUUAACAGGCCUCCUGGCCAGAAGAUGAUGUAAAUCACCUAAACUUUUGCAUAUGAUAAGUUUGAAAGCCUGGCCUGGCUUUGAUUAGGAUCAGGAACUGCUGUCCUUGCAUGACUCCACCCCCUCCCCCAUUAUCCUCUAUGCACAACUUAAGG